UACGUAGGGUGCAAGCGUUAAUCGGAAUUACUGGGCGUAAAGCGUGCGCAGGCGGUUGUGCAAGACAGAUGUGAAAUCCCCGGGCUUAACCUGGGAACUGCAUUUGUGACUGCACGGCUAGAGUGCGGCAGAGGGGGAUGGAAUUCCGCGUGUAGCAGUGAAAUGCGUAGAUAUGCGGAGGAACACCGGUGGCGAAGGCAAUCCCCUGGGCCUGCACUGACGCUCAUGCACGAAAGCGUGGGGAGCAAACAGG
rnacentral:rRNA from 1 species